UGAUCCAUACUUCCUAGUCUGGUGUCCUGGCAGCAGUUCGCUACUUCUAGGUCGAGUAGCGUUGUCAAGUGCAUAAAUUUACUCUUUCUACUUUUAAAACUCUAUAACCAAAGACAGACAUGGCGGAGCUUAGUUUUGUAAUUCCUAUGUCGGUAAUGACUCUGUUUUGGGGGGUUAUUGGUGGAGUUGUGCCGUGGUUUAUCCCCAAAGGGCCGAACAGAGGAGUGAUAGUUACCAUGUUGGUGCUAACUGCUGUCUGCUGCUACCUGUUCUGGCUGAUAGCGAUCCUGGCACAGCUCAACCCUCUGUUUGGACCAGCUCUAAAGAACGAUACCAUCUGGUACAUGUACUACCACUGGCCCUAGUCUACCAGCCCUCGGCUCCUCUCCUGCUACAGGUAAUCUCACUGGCCCUAGUCUACCAGCCCUCGGCUCCUCUCCUGCUACAGGAGAGGACCUGACUCACUGCUGUACACCAAUGAAGCACUCGAUCACCUCCUCACAAAGGGAACUGUUCUUGUACAUCUAGAGCCUUAACCCAGCCUUUGACACCUGACCUUAGAGAGUGUGGAGAGAUGCCUGCAAAGGUGAUUUGUGCAAACUGAUCCCCAAAGGACUUUUCUAAAGAAAUCCACUUUAGUGCUUUAAGAAUGAAGUAUCAGCCUUUCCUUUGAUUUGUAUGGUAUGUUCUGUAUAUUGUGCUGUGACUUUUUGAUUCUCUAACAUUGAUAUAUGAUCUUUGCAAGGCAUGGUACUAGUUACCCUGGCCCAUUCAUAGACAAUAACUACCUUUAGCGCCUAUUGACGAUAAAAUAUUCUGGCCGGAGGAGUUUUGUUAAGAGCCCGGAUGCUUGCUCUAAACAUUAACACGCAUCGCCUGCGGUACGGUUUUGGAAACAUAA